rnacentral:tRNA from 1 species
ACCAGACCAAGAGCCUUCAAAGCUCUAAGCAAGUGCUAUACACUU